rnacentral:misc_RNA from 1 species
GAUGAAGAACGUAGCGAAAUGCGAUAAGUAGUGUGAAUUGCAGAAUUCAGUGAAUCAUCGAAUCUUUUAACGCACAUUGCGCCCCUUGGUAUUCCAUGGGGCAUGCCUGUUCGAGCGUCAUUUGUACCUUCAAGCUCUGCUUGGUGUUGGGUGUUUGUCUCGCCUCUGCGUGUAGACUCGCCUCAAAACAAUUGGCAGCCGGCGUAUUGAUUUCGGAGCGCAGUACAUCUCGCGCUUUGCACUCAUAACGACGACGUCCAAAAGUACAUUUUUACACUCUUGACCUCGGAUCAGGUAGGGAUACCCGCUGAACUUAAGCAUAUCAAUAAGCGGAGGA